UAAGGAAUAUUGGACAAUGGGCGCAAGCCUGAUCCAGCCAUGCCGCGUGGAUGAUGAAGGCCUUAGGGUUGUAAAGUUCUUUCGGCGGGGAAGAUAAUGACGGUACCCGCAGAAGAAGCCCCGGCUAACUUCGUGCCAGCAGCCGCGGUAAUACGAAGGGGGCUAGCGUUGCUCGGAAUCACUGGGCGUAAAGCGCACGUAGGCGGCUUUUUAAGUCAGGGGUGAAAUCCUGGAGCUCAACUCCAGAACUGCCUUUGAUACUGAGAAGCUUGAGUCCGGGAGAGGUGAGUGGAACUGCGAGUGUAGAGGUGAAAUUCGUAGAUAUUCGCAAGAACACCAGUGGCGAAGGCGGCUCACUGGCCCGGUACUGACGCUGAGGUGCGAAAGCGUGGGGAGCAAACAGGAUUAGAUACCCAUGUAGUCCCUGAGCGGGCUGGCAAGGCGCAU
rnacentral:rRNA from 1 species